AGGACGAACGCUGGCGGCGUGCUUAACACAUGCAAGUCGAGCGGAAAGGCCCUUCGGGGUACUCGAGCGGCGAACGGGUGAGUAACACGUGAGCAAUCUGCCCUUAGCUUCGGGAUAGCUCCGGGAAACCGGAAUUAAUACCGGAUAUGACUAUGGCUGACAUCAGCCACGGUGGAAAGUUUUUCGGCUAGGGAUGAGCUCGCGGCCUAUCAGCUUGUUGGUGGGGUAACGGCCUACCAAGGCGACGACGGGUA
rnacentral:rRNA from 1 species